AAAUAGAAUGUAAAAACAAAAACCUAGGAAACCCAAAACUCAAUGAAAUAGUUUAAAAUUAAAAUUAAUCAUUAAAAAUCAACAUAUAAAGAAAGGCUUCAUAUAAUCAUCACAUAUAAUUCUCCUUUCCAUUGAAUAUAGAUUUGUGGAAAUAAUUUGGUAGAAAUUCUAGAUUUUGCAUUUGGAAGAAAAAAGAAGGGAAAAUUUAUCUCUGUUUUUUGGAGCCAUCAUUAGCUUAAUGGCUUUGAGUGAGCAAGAUGAAUAUGACCCAACAGUCCUAACUUUUUAUUCCCCUGGGAAAGGCAGCAGCCUAAUGUCAUCACAAACAGAGCUCUGCAUUUGCUUUAUUUGAAAACCCUUGUUUUUUCUUGAGAAAACCAUGACUUCUCUUUCUUUUACAAUGCACAUGUAGUAUUGUGUCCUAACAGCCCUGAAUGUCUAGAGAUUUUGGCCACGGCACAGGAAGAAUUAAUCACCUUGGGCUCGGUCUUCCCCACCCGGAGCAGCGAGCACCAGGCCCCCGAUGCAGAGCAGCGGUAAGCGGUCUCCCCCGGAGACGGCAGAGCAGGCCACUGGCAACACCUGAACAGAGGUACGAGGGAGGGGGAGAGAAGAUGGGCCUGAGUGGCGCGCUCUUGCCGUAUCCCUGGGAUGGACCUGGGGACAGGGGAGAGUCAACUGGUUACGGUCACACCUGCUGAGCCUUGUCCAUUUCAGAAUUUGUGGGGAGGAUAUCUGUUCCCUCUGGCAGGAGAGUAUCGUCAGCCUUCCCGCAUCCAGGAAGAAUGAGAUGAAGUUACAGGAGGAACGAGAGAGCGUCCCCGGCUCGUGAAGGACGAGGCGUGUGAUUGGGUCUGCGUCGCCGGCCUGGCAGCUGUCCCUGCAGCCCCAUAUUGCAGGGGGGAUGCGGGGGCAGCCCGGUGAGGCGGAGCAGGGAAACUGGGUGCGAGGAGGUGGGGCUGGAGGCCUGAACAACUAAGCUGCACUGCCACUAGGUGCCCCCUGAUUCUCAAUGGGAGCGCCAUUGCAGGGGGGACAGUGGCAGUGCCGGGAGGGAGGGCAAAGGAGUAUUAUCCGGUUCUCCUGGGUCUCCCCUCCUCCCUGUUCUCCCCUUCUCCUCUUUACCUCCCCUUUUUUUCCAUUCUAGACCACAGCCCCCCUACUGUCCUGCUCUGGAAUUCAUCACUGGCCUGCCCCCUACCAUCCUGCCCUGGAAUUCAUCGCCUGCCUGCCCCCUACCAUCCUGCCCUGGAAUUCAUCGCCUGCCUGCCCCCUACCAUCCUGCCCUGGAAUUUCUCGCCUGCCUGCCGACAGCCACCCCAGGACACGCCUGCUUCAUCAUUCCUGGGCCCCUCAGCCAAGACAACUCCAGCCCCUCUCCCGGGGUGUCCCCUGGGGCCUAACCUUCCCCAGGGCCCCUUCUCCCUCCUCCUCUCUCCCCAACCCCCCGCCCCCACCCCCCAGCAAGGACACACACUCAUUUCCAGGAAUCAUUCAUAAAAAUGUAUUAACUUCAGUCUCUAGCCUGUGGACCUUCCCCUGUUUGUGGAUGGGGUCUUUGAGAGCACUGUGGGUAAGCCCUGAAUGUCCGGAUAAUUUAUGCCACGGCAGAGGAGGAAUCGGUCACCUUGGGCUCGGUCUUCCCCACCUGGAGCAACAAGCACCAGGCCCUGACGUGGAGCAGCGGUAAGCGGUCUGGCCCUGGGAUGGCAGAGCAGGCCACUGGCCACGCCUGAACAGAGGUACAAGGGAGGGGGAGAGAAGAUGGGCCUGAGUGGUGUGCUUUUGCCAAAUCCCUGGGAUGGACCUGGGGACAGGGGAGAGUCAACUGGUUACGGUCACACCUGCUGAGCCUUGUCCAUUUCAGAAUUUGUGGGGAGGAUAUCUGUUCCCUCUGGCAGGAGAGUAUCAUCAGCCUUCCCGUAUCCAGGAAGAAUGAGAUGAAGUUACAGGAGGAACGAGAGAGCACCCCCGGCUCGUGAAGGACGAGGCGUGUGAUUGGGUCUGCGUCGCCGGCCUGGCAGCUGUCCCUGCAGCCCCAUAUUGCAGGGGGGAUGCGGGGGCAGCCCGGUGAGGCGGAGCAGGGAAACUGGAUGCGAGGAGGUGGGGCUGGAGAUCUGAACAACUAAGCCACACUGCCACUAGGUGCCCCCUGAUUCUCAAUGGGAGCACCAUUGCAGGGGGGACAGUGGCAGUGCCGGGAGGGUGGGCAAAGGAGUAUUACCGAUUUCUCCUGGGUCUCCGCUCCUCCCUCUUCUUCCCUUCUCCUCUUUACCUCCCCUUUUUUCCAUCCUAGAUCACAGCCCCCCUAUUGUCCUCCUCUGGAAUUCAUCGCCUGCCUGCCCCCUCCCAUCCUGCCCUGGAAUUCAUCGCCUGCCUGCUGACAGCCACCCCAGGACAUACCUGCUUCUUCAUUCCUGGGCACUUCAGCCAAGACAACUCCAGCCCCUCUCCCGGGGUGUCCCCGGGGGCCUCCAGCUGUCCCUAACCUUCUCCAGGGCCCCUUCUCCCUCCUCCUCUCUCCCCUUCACCUCCCCCACCCAGGACACACACACAUUUCCAGGAACAGACCCUAGCCUGUGGACCUUCCCUUGUUUGUGGAUGGGGUCUUUGAGAGCACUGUGGUUUAAGGUGCUACUGCUUCUGAUGUCAGAGGAGCCGUAAUGGGAUUGUAUGUCUUCGAUGCUCCAGAUGGCAGCCCUGAACUGACCUGUUUUCAGCCUGAUCUGAGAUAGACCACCUGAAAACAAGCACAAGUGAAGAUAGCAUCCGGCACACGAAUAUCACAACUUUGCCUGAAACUGUUGAAGUUGGAGCAGGAGCGUGAACUGCUGAGGAAUAUCGACAGAGCUCUCAGGGAAGAAAAUAUUUUCUCCAGGAUUGGCAGAAAACCUCUGGCAUAGGACAACAAGAAAAAAGCAAGCUUCCAAAGCCCCCGGAUAAAUUAAAGCCAUACACUCACCGGGCCAGCUAUGAUGCUGAAUAUGCCAAGGCUUUGAAGGUCUUCUACCAAAGCAUGAACAAAGUGAAGGGCUAGUUCCUUCAGCUGAGACUCUACAGAGCACAUGUACACAACAUGGAAUUCCCUAUGGUGUCUGCGUAGCAAAGGAGUCCCUAAUAUUUUUGUAUUUCUUCAACAAGUGAGGCUUUUGAAACAAACUGUUUAACUAUACUUGUCCUUGCUUAUGUAUGAAUAUACAUGCCCAGCUAUAGAGCUACUCUUACAUAUUUUUCCCAAGUGCUAAAAAAAAGCCAUGAUGCCAAUGCAAAAUGUACUCUGAAAAAAAUAGCAGUGUUAUGUAUGGUAUCUACGACUGUCCCACAAGGGGCUCACAGUCUUAAUCCCCAUUUUACAGAUGAGGCAAAUGAGGCUUGGGGAAGUUAAGUGACUUAAGUACCGUGAGCACCCCAGCCUAGCAAUUUCUUUAGAAAGACCUAGGCUUCAGCCAAAACAGGGAAGGGAGGGAUCAACAAAGACAAUGGAAGAUGGCCAAGAGAGAUACUACCUGUUUCCCUGGGCAAACAACAGGAGUCUUACUCAUUUCAAAUAAGCACUGAUAAGAGGAAACCCAGUUAGUUAAACUGCUUUCAAGGUAAAGAUGGUGAUGAACUUAUUCCAGCAGUAUUUAAGACCUUCAGUUCCUAGUUGGAUCUAAGAGUACUAGAUUGCUGAAAAGAAAUGCUGAAAGGUGUCAGUUAUGGUGAUUUUUACAGAUGGGAAGGCUAGUAAAACAAAAAGUCCAGGAUCAGCAGAAGUAUUAUGCUGUCCCCUGUCAGUAUUUGCUGGGGGGGAGUGCAACCAAAGCAAGAUAUUCCUAAGUGUAUGUAUGCUAUGCAUUGUUGUGUGAUGCCUCAGAGUGCUUCCUAUUGUGACUCUUGAAAUAGAACAUAGUCAGUAUACUCUAAUGCUGUCACUUAGUUGCGUGUACCGUUUUUCGGGGGGAUGACAGGCAGUUGCAUCUUUGUACUGAAAGACAGGCACAUAUGCUAAAGGACUUGGAGGAAGUACUAGACUCCAGGCUCUGGAAACUGAAAAAUGAUGUUGCGUUUAUAAGUCAAAAGAAGAGAGAGCAAAUGCUCAAACUCUACUUGCUUAGAACUUCUUUGAAGGUUACUUGAGUUUUGCAUAACUCAAAAACAUUUUCAAGCCCCCUCGUAUUCUGUUGGUAAACCUGUCAUACUGAAUUGGGAUCUUUAAAGUUCAGUAAAGAUAAUACCUUUUAAGACUUAUGCUUUAAAUCCUUGUUUUGUGAACGUAGAACACAGAUGAAGGGGCCUGGGUUUAUCUGAGCUCAGUGUCCCCAUGAGAUGGGUGACGUUUAGGACUGUGAGCAAACUGAGGCUUGGAACUCCUGAUGAUGAUGAUGAUGAUGAUGAUGAUGAUUCAACAGGAAGCCAAGUCCUCUAGCCUGUAAGCUCCUUGUGGUCAGGGAGUGUGUCUGUCAUAUUCUGUCUCCCAUGUGCUGAAUACAGUGGCCAGCACACAGUAAGUGCUCAAUAAAUACAAUUGAUUUAAUCGCCUGAAGCAAAGAGUCUCUGCCGACAACCACAGCAGCAGGACAUGCCUGAAUCAUCACUCCUGGACCACCACCUCAAGACUUGCCUGAAUCAUCAUUCCUGGACCACCACCUCAAGACUUGCCUGAAUCAUCAUUUCUCGACAACCUCCCCAGGACUUGCCUGACUCUUCAUUCCUCUGCACCUCGACCAAGACAACUCCAGCCCCUCCCCCAGGCUGUUUCCUGGGGUCUCCAGCUGUCUCUAACCUUCUCCAGCA